rnacentral:misc_RNA from 1 species
CUGCCCAUCAAGCCCGGCUUGUGUGUUGGGUCGUCGUCCCCCCCGGGGGACGGGCCCGAAAGGCAGCGGCGGCACCGUGUCCGGUCCUCGAGCGUAUGGGGCUUUGUCACCCGCUCGACUAGGGCCGGCCGGGCGCCAGCCGACGUCUCCAACCAUUUUUCUUCAGG